rnacentral:rRNA from 1 species
UACAGAGGGGGCAAGCGUUAUUCGGAAUUAUUGGGCGUAAAGGGCGCGUAGGCGGCUUUGCAAGUGACGGGUGAAAUCCCACGGCUUAACCGUGGAACUGCCUGUCAGACUGCAUGGCUUGAGACCAGGAGAGGUGAGUGGAAUUCCCAGUGUAGCGGUGAAAUGCGUAGAUAUUGGGAGGAACACCAGUGGCGAAGGCGGCAUCCUGGAUCGGUAUUGACGCUGAGGCGCGAAAGCCAGGGGAGCAAACGGG